rnacentral:lncRNA from 1 species
CAACUGACUGAGCAUGGCUGCUAGAAUCUAUGCUGUUCAUCUUCUUGCCCUACUAUUCUUCAUCAUCCCUCCAUUGAAAGCAAAAUCGAUUGAUUUUAAUUAUCCAGCAGUUUUUAACUUCGGCGAUUCUAACUCCGACACCGGUGACCUUGUUGCUGGCCUUGGCAUUCUCCUUGAAUCACCUAAUGGACAAUUUUACUUCAAAACUCCAUCAGGGAGGUUCUGUGAUGGCCGUCUCAUUGUUGACUUUCUAAGUAAAGUUUCUACCUUUAACUAUGCAUACAUAAAAAAUAAAAAAAAAGCAUUUCGUUUACCACUGUAGUUAGAUAGUUUUCUCUAAAUAGAUAUAUACUACUUCCAAAUUUUUUUGAUAUUUCCUUAUAUGUAAAAUAUUCAUAGUAUAUAUCACUAAUAUCUGGUUCUUAUUAUCAGGCACUGUUUAAUCCUGUUGAGGUUUUCUCACAUAAGUAAAAUAUCCAUAUUUAUGUGUAUAAAUUUCUUUAUUUUUCUAUUAGAUAUUUAUCUAUAAUAUUUAUUUUUUAAAUUUUUCUAUGUUUUAAUUGAAUAUGUAUAUUUUUUAAAAAAAAUUAUUUUCUUUAAAUAGAUAUAUUCCACCACUUUUAAGUUUUUAAACUUGUUGGUAAAAUUUUUUUCUAUAAACAGAUAUAUCACAUAUCCUAUAUUUGUAAUAUAAUUAAGUUAUAUAUGUUAAAAUUAUAUGAAAAUAUUUUUUAUUUGGGAUUAAUAUAUUUAGUAUAGAAAUUUUUAAAUUUUUUCCUUUUAUUUUCUAUAUUUUGUUAGAAAUAAUGUUUAAUAAUAAUAAUAAUAAUAAAAUUAUAUUUUACUGUUAAAUAAUUAAAUAAUAAAUAAUACUUAUCUAUCUAUUAAGCUAUAUUAAGAUUUAAGCAUGCGUAGGGACAAACACAAGUCAGAACCAAUUUUGAUUCGUGUUCUAUUGCUUGUUUGAUGACAAACUGUAUAUAUUAAUAUUAGUUCAUGUUUUACCAUUUCCACACUACACGAACAAACUGAUUUCACCGUUCUUUAAAUGACGAUCAAUAAUUUAUGGGCAUGUCUAAUCGUCUUUGGUCGUGUAGACGAGCUGUCAGCUUUCUUUAUACAUGCUCAUUGUUGUUGAUCUUGAAUAAGCUUGAACUCUACAUGAGAAGACAAAAAUGUUCAGUAAUCUAAAGAGCUUUCAGAUUUGAGUGCAGUUCAAUGCGAUAUUAGCUGUAGUCUUGUGCGUGCACACAAGAUAACUAUUGGAGUAAAUUGAAGACUUAAAGUAUGCUAUUCGUGGAAGGGAAAUUCAACUCUUUGCUUGCACAGUGGUGCCCGGGUUUGUCUCACUUGUGGAAUGCCUCAGUUUUUCAUUGUCUCGAAAUUUAACCAAAUUAAACCAUUUUCUUUCUUCAAUUAGUUUUAUACAGUGCUAUUUUUCAUCACUCAAAGAUCCACAAAACAAAAUUGGAAAAAUUACUUUGCUUUUGGUUCUCAUUUUGCUUUUUAAUAAUCCAUACUUCAAAGCAAACGUUUACCAUGCACAUUAAAAACAUCAACUGUCUCGUAACAAUACAUGUCCUUCUGAGUUCUGAGAUAUCUGGGAUUUGGUAAACACAACUGACUGAGCAUGGCUGCUAGAAUCUAUGCUGUUCAUCUUCUUGCCCUACUAUUCUUCAUCAUCCCUCCAUUGAAAGCAAAAUCGAUUGAUUUUAAUUAUCCAGCAGUUUUUAACUUCGGCGAUUCUAACUCCGACACCGGUGACCUUGUUGCUGGCCUUGGCAUUCUCCUUGAAUCACCUAAUGGACAAUUUUACUUCAAAACUCCAUCAGGGAGGUUCUGUGAUGGCCGUCUCAUUGUUGACUUUCUA